AAAAGUCGGAUUUUUGGUCAGCUCUCGGGUAGCCUCAGCAGGGCUGUGUACCGGUACAGGGUUGAUGGCUGUACCGGUACACGCUGAUGGCUGUACCGGUACGUGGUUUGAGUACCAGUACGCAGGCAGAUCUCGUGCCAACCCGAGGCUCGGGUUGGACUGGUGCAUGGCAUGUGUACCGGUACACAAACCCGUGUACCGGUACGCAGUGCAGAAUGGGCUGUUUCGUGGAGUGGUGUUUUUGCAAUUGUUGCAAACCCUUUAUAACACCACCCAGCCCCCUCUAGGGCUCCUUUGAGCCCAGAGCUGAGGAGAAAAAGGUGAGAGCUCCCUCCCCUUGGUUUUCUUCCAUUUUUGAUGGAUUCUUCUUGGUUUUGAUCUCCCUCUUUGUGCUCUUUUGCCUCUUUGGUGCGUUUUCUCCAUGGUUGAAGUUUGAAGCCUUGGUUGGAGCACUUGUGGUGGAGGAUCACUGAUUUUGGUGAACUUGAGUCUUGUUUGGGAGCUUCUAGGAGGUAAGCAACUUACUCUUUCCUCUAGAUUUAGCUUUUGUUGGUUCUUUUGAGAUUAAACCCUAGAUUUUGGAUUUUAGGGUUUUAUUUGGGGGUUUUGGAUUUAAACCUUUAUGAACCUAAUUGAUUGGAUUAGAACUUUUGAUUAGGUUGCUUUGGAAGGGUUUUUGCUCUCUUUAGAAGAUCGAGAGAGGAUUUCACCAUAUAAGUGAGUUUUUCCCCUUUUGUAUGAUGAUGUUAAUGUUUGAUCUAAGGGAUAGAUCGUUUAGUGGUUUGACUCUUCUUUUACCACCUUAGGGUGCUAGGAGACUUGUGGGCAACUUCGUUCGGCAAAACGAAGGUUUGCGGUUUGAUUGGUGGGUUUGACUUCAUGAAAACGGGGCGAAAUGGCCCAUAUGCUUUCUAAACGCUUCGUAAAGUCUUUUUAAGAGCACAUCCAUGUUAAACAUGAUUUAUAUGAAUUUUAGAAUACUUAAUAUGCAUGCCUUAUGUAUCAUGGAAUUUACACUCUAUAUAGUAGAGCUAUAUAUGUAGACUGCAUGCAUUGUGGAAAGUGGUUGGCUUUGCAAGUUGAAAACAUGUCUUCCAUGUUUAAAAUGAGUAGAAUUAUGUAUUCAUAAACAUAAAUAUCAUGCUUGAACUUAUUGAACAAAGGUGUCAUAAAGGGGCAGCUAUGAAAUUGCAACAUAGAGACAUAGCGAUAGGCCGUUGGACAUCGACUAUAUUUUAAAGACAUGACGACAUAGUGGUGGGCCUUAGUAACAUCCGGUAUAUUCCAUGUAUUUAGACAUGAGGACUUGAGACUUGAGACAGACUGAUACGCAUGCUUGCCAUUGUGCUCAUUCGCACAUGCUUGUGAGGGUCGCUCCCUACAAGCCGGCACUCCGGAGUUGGCCAUCGCGAUACGUUCGCCGUGCGGGAUUGGGCGCCGAAGUGGAUUGCCGUGGGCCAGGCUCAUUCCUAGGGUGGGGAUGAUGACUACCACGGGGCCAUUAGGCUCGGCAUCGGCCAGACAGCUUACGGGUAGGUCUCAGGGCCAUAGACAGCCUUCGGGUGGGUCUCUCCAGAAUUGACUUUGAGUAUUCACUACGACAUGUGGACAGAUGCUGACUUAGUACAUUGUCUAGAAUAGUAAACAAUGACAUCUUUACUAUUUGCUUGAGGACAUCGUAUCGGUUGCAUACUUAUGCUUAUUCAUGUCAUACACAUCCAUGUACAUUCAUGUUAUAGUUGCUUUAGUGAUUAUGCAAAUCAUGCUAAGUAGAGACAUCAUGCUAUAGUGAGUUACAUUGUUACUUACCUUUUUCUUUACCACAUUUUUAUCACUGACCUCCUCUUUGUAGCUUUUGGGCCUUGUGGCGCAGUUCACUGAAGUCAGUAAUUGCCCACUGGGAACUAUUUUUAAUAGUUCUCAUGCCCUCCUUUUCGUGGUUUCUUUCAGAGCCUUCGGCACCGGCGGAGGCGCGGGAUCGAGGCAAGGGGAUAGCAUAGCUAGCUAACGAGGAGCGGUUCUUUGCCUAGAUGGAUUACUCUUUCUUUUUGUAGUUGAGAGAGUGAGGGAUUUUGUAUCCAUGUAUAGAGACCACCUAUGUAUUCACUUUCAGCACUUGUUUUGGGGAUUCCUUUGUACUACUUUAUAUUUUUAUUAGUCUACUUUAUAUUUUUAUUAGUGGACUUCAGCUUUAUGUUCCUUUCUCUAUUGUAGGACUUAGUCCUAUAGCAUGCUCUGAUACUCCUAGAUGCUUUCUUUUAUCGUCUCAUUUUCACCGUAGUUUUAGACGCAUUAUAUGUUUUAGACAUAUGGCGGGUCUGGACACGCGCCGGGCGGGCUUCCGCUGUGUCCCGGGGCGUGACAGGCCCUAACAACUUUUUUUUAAUCUUGAUUUCUCUCUCUCUGCAUACGACCGGCCCUGGCCCAAUUUUUUUUAAUUUUGAUUUCUUUCUCUCUCCAUUGAUUUGAACACGAGGGAUUGAAAUUUUUUUAAUUCAAUUUAAUUCCCUUAUCUCUCAUUAUAAAAUUUUAAAAUAUAUAAUUUUUUAUAUAUAACUUUUAAAUAAUUUAGUUGCAUGUAUUACAUAUAAAUUUUUAUAAUAUUGAUCACUUAGUAUUGAUUAUACAAUAAAAAAUAGAAGACAGAUUGAUGGAUUAAUUACUUAUUUUAAUAAAUUUAGAUGUAAAAGUUUUAUAAAUAUACUAAUUAAAUUUAUAAAGCUAUACAACGUAUUCCAAUUUUGAAGUCAAAGUAUCAUUGAUUAACCCAAAUCUAACAUAUUGAAAGGUUGGAUAGUAAAAAAAUAAAAUUUUGAAAUAUUGGAUAGCUUAUUCAAAAUGGUUCAUAAUUAGUGCACGUUUUUAUUUUGAUUUUAAUAUCAAACUUUAAUGGCAUAUUUUUAAUCUGAUAAAUGAUUAAUUUCCCAUAUAAAAUCUUCUAAAAUAUCUAAAAUCACUUUUAAUUUUAAGAAGUAGGCAAAUAGUUUUUUUCCCUUAAAUUAAAUUAAUAAUUGAACAAACCAAUCGAUGCCCAAUUCUGUCUUCGGAAUAAAAAUAAAACAUAAAAAUGGUGAAUUACGGAUUUGGUCCUCAAACUAUAUGAUGCGUGGUAUUUUAGUUCUUGAACUUUAAUGCUUUAUAAUUUCUGUCUCCAACUAUGAGGCACACGACACUUUAAUUCUAUAACUUUCUAUAACUUUAAUUAGUUAUAAUUUCUAUCUCGAGCUAUGAGGCAUAUGAUAUUUUAAUUCUUAAUUUUUACUAAUGUUAUAAAUAUAAUUUAUCAUUCUUAUAAUUUUAUCUUUAUUCUUUUCUUGCCCUUCUUGUACUUUUACUGCUACCGCUUCAGUUUCUUUUUUCUUUUCUUUUUUUUAUUCUUUUUUACUCUUUAACUCUUCUUUUAUUACUUUUUUGCUAUUUUUUUCUUUAACUUCAUUUAUUUAUUUAUUUCUGCAAAAGAAAUCUGCCACAACGCACGGGUGUGUUCACUAAUCAGUGUCUUCACUAAUCAACAAUUAAUCGCUGAAACAAGCAUAAAAUUAAUUCACUCUUAGCAUUAGAAGGCACUCAAUAACACUAGCACUAGGGAUAUUUCGAAAGCAUUGGACAUGAAAAUAUAUUACACAGUAGCCCGAGAGGGAUGGAUACAGAAAGGAACAACUAGCCCAAUCUGUUCAAAGACAUCCCAAGAUACAACUGCAAUUCCUAAUCAGAAAAAAUAAAACAUGGACGUCGAACUGAGAUUUGAAAGCCACCACUUUCCUGCCACAAAUGUAACAGUGGGCAGCAUAAUUGGAAAUGUCAAGAGACAACUGUACAAAUUAUCCGGAGAAAGUCAUCUUCAUGUUCAAACUGCCGCUUGCAAAUUGAAUAGAAGGUGGGAACCAAACUGAACUGCCUUGAUGAACCGAAGAAGAGGAGAGUACCUGACUGCAAAGAACAUCAUUCAAGGAAUAGUGUCAAUUUCUUUCGUAACCCUUUCUUUCGAUUGGGCACAAUUUUGAAGCGGGGAGUCACCUUUUGAUUUUGAUGCUAGAGUGGAUCAGAUGUGGUGAAAGGGUUGUGCUGAUGGGAAGGCCACCUUAUCCUCUCCGGUGAGCAAGGGUCCGGGGCUGGGGGCGGGGUAGGAUGCGCAAUAAAGGUGGGUAUAUUGUGCCCAGGCAUAAGCACUGACACCCCUUUCGAGUAUACAGACAUCUGCCAAACAACAAAACAAAACUUCUUUUUGGUUAACCACCUCUAAGCUUUAUCAGCAAACUGAUAAUAAUGACAUAUAUGCUACCAUAGUUUGCCUAAGAAACAAAUGAUGACCGCAAUGAUAGUACAUAACACUGAACUCUUGUGAUAUAUAUGCUGGUAAAUAUCCUAGUUUGACGAGUUAACUUAGUAUGUAGCCUUCAAAUUUGGAUUAUGUAUUCUGCCGUUGGCAACCUUGCAAUUCGAACUGUAACCACUGAUUUCCUGCUCCAAAUUUGAUCUAAUACAGACAAAACUAGACAACCGCUAUAAAUCUAUAACUGCUUGAAGGAGAAUGAAAAGCCAACACAAUGAAAUUAUGAAACAGUAGUUCAGUUUAUAGUAAAGGAAAAUUCAUUAUUCCUUCUAAACCAAUUCUCAACGCAAAUGACUGUUCGACAGGCCAAAGCUUCUGCAGAAGUAGUGCUGUUCAACCAGAGAUCUAUAGUCAAACAAGGAGCUCAAGAUCCUCCAGGUGCCAUGUGAUCUUUUCAGACCGAAACCCAUUUGUGCUGGAACUAAACUUUCUAGCAACCCAUCUGGUUUGUCAAAAACCAUUAACUAAACCAUUAGGUGCUCUGCCUACAUACCCAGACUGCAUAAGCAUUAACUGCUUAGGCAAUAGUGGGGCAACUUGGUACCUAGAACAUUAGAUAAUUGCCUAGGAUUAUAUCGUAAAAUCAAAUACAUAUAUUUAGGUAACUUCACUAGUUGUUAAUCUUGAGAAAAAUAAUUGUCCCUAGUGAGGAUAAAUGUAGUUUAUUCCAUAAAAAGUAAACGAACCAAGAUGAGACAUUUGCUGGAAUUUCACUCAAUGAAACAUGAGAAUACACCAUUUAUUGCACAUCACGUUCUGUUCUCACAAUUUUCUCUCUUUAAAAUGGUUUUAUAAAUUAGCGGCAACGUAACAAUGAUUAAAUUCUGAUAAUUUCUUAUGAAUUUGGCAAGUGAGACAACAUUGUUUAGUUUUAAAAACUUUUUCUAAUAAAAUGUUUAAUUGACCACAUAUUAACUGGGCACUUCACCUAAAUGCUUAGGUAACUAACAGGUUUCUUCACCUAGAGGCUAGGGUUUGCCUGGCCACCCUAACAACCUUGCAACCUACUUAAACACUUAACACUACUUACGUGAUUAGGGAGUUAUUCCACCUUGUCAAGAGAUUGGCUCUCUCUGUCGACCUAAACAAAAAAAUUUCCAUUUUUUUACUAUGAAAUUAUGCCUAAUAAAGCUCGUAUCAUAGCAUAUUCUCCAAUAAUAGGACAACAUGCAAUAAAUAUUGCUUCUACCGACAUCCUUUAAUGAAGUCACUAUUGUAUCGCAAUUUAUGGUAAUUUCCGAUGUCUAAAGGAACAAACUUAAGAAAGUAGAAUUAUCAACUAAAAAGCAGUUGUAAAGGAAAGCUAAUUGAAGUUGCACAGAAAACUGAUUGGUGCGAACUGUAUUUUAUUUAAGUGAUAUGUGACAGAAUUUUGAACUUUUGAGCAUGGCUGCUAACCAACAAAAGGUUUGAUCACAACUUUUUUGGCUUAUUAAGCACAUUACAUGAGGUCCAUUUUACACUUCUUGUUCAUUUAAAUAAAAAAUGCUCUAUAAACAAACAGCAACACUAAGAGAGUACCUUUUUUUAUUAGCUUCCACUUCCCUGUAACUUCUCUCUAACUCGGGAGGAAGUCAUCUUAUGACGAAUUAAGGGGAUGGUGAAUCUUAGUAUUCACCAUCUAUCCUACUUUCACCAGAAACAGUGAAACUCAAUUUCCCUCUCCUGAGUAAUGCCCAGGCAAACUUGCCUGACGAUGGCUAAUUCCAUGCAAAUAGGACAAAUUAAGAUUCGUUAAUGACGGACACGAUCCAAAUUUAGUUUUCUGACGAACCUUUGAGUCAGCUCAACUAUCCUGCGAGGGGCCAAUUUACGUGUAAGUUGAAUAGGCCAUCAACAUGAGAAUGAUCCAACAGCACAGAUGGACACCAUGCAAGAGCAACAUCCAUCAAAAUGAUUGACCUGAGACCGCGACUCCACAACACCCAAAUUUAUGUCCUGUUAGCCUCUUUCCAAAUUUCUUUUGCCCACUCUUCCUGUCCCAACACAGCAGAUGCUUUCUCUCUUGUUACCUUCUUUCUUGUUACAUGACAAAUACCUCAAUAGCUUAUUAUUCUCCAUGGAGCAGUUAAAAAGCUAUUAGAUAGUACAGACUACAUUCUACAGUAGAGUAUAAUAACUGGAAUGAGACCCCACACAGUAGUAGUUUCAUUCAACUGUCUCCCAAAUCAUAAUAAAUGAAAUUUGACUCCAGGCUGCGACUGGUAGGAAUCACAGGAUUUUACAGAAUCUGAGCGAAGGGUCCUUUCAUUGGUGCUGAAGGCUGCCAAUCGCUAUGUAGCCGAAAGAAAUUUGGAAUAACUAGAGCGGAAACAAACAGUAAAAAUAUCUGUCUUCUUCCUUCUUCCGUAAAACUAGAGAAAUUAUGUAUCUUAACACAAUUACUGCCAUUUGCGAGAAAUGUUAUCACUUGCAACAACAAAUAGAAUAUGCAUUGCUGUCGUACUCUCUCUCACUGCAGAGAGCAAUUCGGCGGUCAAAAAACUAAAAGCAACAAAAUAAUGAUAAGACAGUAAUGCAGGGGCCAGAGAGUAAUUAGGUCGAAAAUAAGGGAGUAAAAUUGAGGCUAUGGGCAUGCGUAUACCUCAGGGGAGGGGCAAUCGAGCUUGACGGCGAAGCUCCGGCGCUGCGCCUCGAGGUCCGGGGACGGGCGACGCCUCCGGCGGAAGGAGAGGAAGGAGAAGGAGAAUGAGGAGGAGGAGGAGGAGGACGACGACGAUGCGGCAGCAGCAUUGGCGGCGGGUGGGCUGCGGAGGAGGAAGCGCUCGAAGAUGGCCAUGAGGAGGAACAUGGAGAUAAGGAUGGCGGUGGCCACGAACCCUAACGACACCGCGUUCACGGAGCUGUCCAGCUGGCGCCACCGCUCCUCCCCCGCAGUGCUCCUCUCCGCCGCCGCCAGCGGGGCCAUCGCCGGCCCCGUCUCCCCCAUUCUCCCUCUCCGCAACCGCCUCGGAUGACGCUAACACGGCGUCGCCCGUCGCAACGGCAUCACCGCUCGACGCUCGCCGCUGAUAAUGACGGCCUCCGCCUCUACCUUUCCCUCCCUCUCUCUCUCUCUGAGCUACGGUGGCUUGAGAGAUAGAAGACGUUCUUGCUGCUAUGAUUUCCCUAUGGUCAGGGAGGGGGGAGAGAGAAAGACUCUCCUUUUGACCACAUAAGAGAGAGAGAGAGAGAGAGAAAAAGAGAGAGAGAGAGAGAGAGAGAGGGAGGGAGAGAACGAGCGAGCAUAUCAUGCUCCUUUUCUUUUGCUAACCGGAUAUUACAAUUUGGUGGUAUAAAACUUCACAUAUUUGAUUACCUAUGGUAACAAAUUCUUUAGUUUAGCUUAUUAUUUUUAUGGGAUAAUUGCCUAUAUACCACUCAUGCGUCUGAAAAUAUCCGAUCUAUCCCUACUUUUUUUUUCUUUCUAAAAUGCCCCUCAUAUGUUCCACCGUUAUUGCAAAAUACCCCGCAGUUAUCUCCUGUUAAGUUAACCUGAGUUAAACGUAAGUUAAAUAUCUAUCACAGUUAAAAAAAAUUAAAAUGCCAAUUUUGCCCUUAACUUAAGGGCAAAUAAGAAAGAUUGGUUACGGUAGAGGGGUAUAUUGGAAAAGACAAAAAGGUAGAGGGGUAUAUUGGAAAAGACAAAAAGUUGAAAUAUUUUUUGUGCCCUUGACUUGGCAAAUAAGAAAGAUAAUGAUGGUGGAAGGGUAUAUUUGAAAAAGGCAAAAGAGUAAUUUUACAGCGAUAACAGUGUUACUUAACAGAUUUUAACUCUAAGGGUAUAUUAGAAAUAGGUUGGAACGUAGGAGGGGUAUUUUCAAUAUUAGCCUUCUAAGAGGGGUAAAUCGAAAAGUCGGAAACUUUUCAGGGGUAUAUAAGAAAUUGCCCCUAUUUUUAUUUUGGGGCAAUUGAUUAUAUAUUUAUAAAAAGUUUUUUUAACUUUUUAAUUUAUCUCUCUUACAAAGUUAAUAUUAAAAAUACUCUUUUAACGUUCCAAGUUAUUUCAAAUAUAUAUGUAGAGUUAAAUUUUAUUAGUGAAGUAUUGUCUUUUCAAAUAUAAUCUUUACCAUCACUAGCUUUUCUUAUUUGUCCUUAAGUUAAGAGAAAAAGAGAUAUUGUAAUUUUUUUAACUUGGGUAGAAAUUUAACCUGGGUUUAACCUGAGAUAACUUAAAGGAUACUAACAGCAGAGAUAUUUUUAAAUAACAGAGAACAAUAGAAUGGGUAUAUUUGAAAUAGAAAAAGUAGGAGUAAAUUAAAUAUUUUGAAAAUUUUCUAACGCAUAUUAGAUAUUAUCCUUUUUAUAUAUUUGAAAUAGGGUUCAUAACAUUCCGGACGCUACAAACAGAAUAAAACGUCUAACCAACAUGGCGGCAAUCUAGUGGGUCGUCUGGACGGAACGUAACAAUAGCGUCUUCAACGAAUACCUUCCUAAUGCUACCAGGGCUCUUUAGCACGUAUCUAACUUGAUGAUUGCCUGGACUUCUUUAACUUAAUGUCUCACUAGAUUGACCUGUACCUUCGCCUUUUGUUCUUUCUUCUUUUUUUUUCCUUUCUCUUUCUUCUCCUUCUUUUCUGCUUUUUUAGGAGGCCUUAGCUGCUUCCAUCAUGUUAGCCUAGUUCAUUUUGCUUAAUGAAUGAAGCGGGUAGCUUGCUACCUUUUUCUCAAAAAAGAAAUAGGGUUCAUAAAAUUAUUUUACAACAAAGUUUACAGAUAUUAGGAAGUUUUAACAAGUUGUUGGCGUUGGUGGUAGGCAGCUUGGUCGAAAUGACGAACUGAUGUGGGCAGAUCGGAGGAUAAUAUGCAGUACGCCGGGAGCCAAAAAGGAAAUGCCAAUAUUAGUGAGGUUUGUGCCAGAACGAUUGAGGAUACGGAGAGGAGAUGUCUUGGCCAACAAGCAACUUAUCCCAGUGUAUCCCUAAAAAAUAAGGGACAUUGCCAAAUUAUUAUCUACGAAACCAAGUAUCCAAUAACCACAUGUGGGAAGCACACUACUAUAAAUAGAAAAAAUGUGCCUACAACAAAGGUCCUUCACACAAACAAAGGACCACAUCAUUUUUAAUUUUCUUUAAUUCCAACACUUACAAGUUUGUAGGAGUAGUCUACAACCUUUCUUUUACAUUUAUUCAAAAGAGCUUUUUAUGAGUAGCCUUAGUACAGUACUGUAAUUCUUGUAAGUACUUUUUGUCGAGUGAAUAUAAUUAAUUCGGCUCUUUUAGCCGAGUCUGCCUUUUCGGUUCAUUUACGUGUUGAGAAAGAACCCGGUUGAGCGGAUCCCCUGCUCAACCCAAUCGCUUGAUUUCAAGCUACACUUGAGGGUCAAUCUGGGAGAACUAGCAGGCGUGUUCAACCUAGUUUUGACUCGGUCAACAAUUCGAGAUCCUGGUUCACCAUGUCAACAAAUUUUUCGCAUGCUCGGUAGGACACUCAGGUAAAAAUAUUUAAAUACCAAUGGCUAACGAUAACACCAUGAACCUCCGAAAUAGAGUCAUUCCUAGGUCUCCAGGCAAAAACCAAGUGAGCAGUGCUGAAAAUCUGAAUGAACAACAAUCGGCACCACCUUCAGGUGCAGAAGGUUGUCACGCCCUGGGACCGAUCCCUUUGGCCGGUCUGGGCACGUCGAACAAACGCCGAAUGGACAGCACCUCCCCUGUCCGCCCAAGACUCAACACAUGUACAAUUCAAGUAAAGAGAAUGCACAAGCGGAAACAUACAUAAUGGCUUACACGGGGGUAAGCAAUAGCCAAAGUGAAAGAAUUCUAAACUAUGCAACAUACAAGUAGAAUGAUUACUUUCAACCAUUUACAAGCAUACAUCAUUUAUAUUUACAUUGCUUUUCAUCAUCUCCUUUCUUUACAUCACAAUGUCUUCUCAAAAUGGAAGAUAAACUUUCAAUAUUACAAUUUCAACAUUUUCACAUCUAUAUCAUCAAAAUACAAAAGAUGAUGCAAAGGUAUGCUACUAGUAAAAUAUGAAACCCGACUCGGGUGGUCACUGUCUACGACGCGAUACCUUUACCGCGGUCGUCAGCCGGCUCACUCGGUCCCGGCUCUGUGGAAAUAGUGGGGUGAGAACUACAACGAAGUUCCCAGUGGGUUCGGUCCCAAUAUCGCCGACUUUCCCACUAGGUCUAACUCAGGCAUAAUAGAAGAAUUAAGCAGAUAGAUAGUAAUCGAGCUAUACACAUGCAGCUAAUAUGCCUGAACAAAUAAUCAAUGAUUAUGCUCAAUUGAAUUACUCAUGAUGAAUGCAAGUUCUCAAUCUCGAAACUCAAUCUCAUGGCUAACUCGUAGGCGUCGCCCUCAAUAGACUCACCAACUCGUAAUUCCAAUUGUCGAGCGAGACUACUACAACCCUGUAACACGCUGGACCUUAGCAAAUUGUGAGGUUCGAGUGAUUGGAUGUGUUUCGAGCUUUUCCACACUUGGUGGAGGGUCGUAGAAUGUUUUUCGAUCCAAAAAGUUCAAAAACUUGAAUUCUGGACGAGUCCUGAGAGUUUUCACUCUCGGGGACCGGUCCGUGAAAGGAGAGACCGGUCCCCCAGUGAGCAGUGUUGUGGCAGCCCUGAGGCAACCGGUCCCUUGCGGGUGAGACCGGUCCCCGAGCGCGUCCUCGCAGUGAGAGACCGGUUCCCGAACGUUGGUUUUUCGGGUUCGCAGCGAGAGACCGGUCCCUGCUGGGGAGAGACCGGUCCCUCUGGGCGAAAAUUGCCCAGACCGAGCUGAUGCAAUUUUGGAUUUUUGAGAGACCUAGCUGGAUUUUGUUGCAAUAGAUGGUCUAUAUGACCCAUCCACUCUCUCUUCUCCUCAUUUCUCUCCUCUCAACUCUCUCUACAGCCUUGAUAGAGAAGGAGAAGAAGAAGGAGAAGGAGAAGAAGGAAGGAAGGAAGAAGAAGAUUGAGCGCAACUAGUGGUCUUGGAGCAUCUUCCUCACUGUGAGGAAGUGAAUUCUCGAAACUCGAGGAUUAGACUUCGAUUAGAAUCGACUAGUUGUCGAGCGUGUAAGCUUCGGAAAGUCCGAAGGUGAUUUUAACGCAUUAAGUGCAUUAAGGAAGGGUCCGCGAGAGCACCAAGUGCAAAACUUGCACUGGAGCAGAAAUGCUCUCGGGGACCGGUCCCUGGCAGGGAGGGACCGGUCCCAUCAGGCUGGGUUGCUGAGGUCUCUGAUGAGACCGGUCCCUGGCAGGCAGGGACCGGUUCUCGAACGUCAGCCCAGCGAGAAUAGUCAAAAUUUGGCUAAGUCCCGAGAAUCCAACUUUCAGGAACCGGUCUCUCGGACAAGGACCGGUCUCCCUGGGACCGGUCUCUCAGGCAAGGACCGGUUCCCGAACGCGAAAACCCCUCUGCUCGAAAUGGCAGCCUUCGGGGACCGGUCUCCCCGAGCUGGGACCGGUCCUUCACUGCGAAAAUGCCCAAAGAGGGCUGGUUUGAAGGAUGAAAAGUUGAGGGGGCUAUCUGCAAAAUGGCCUUUAUUAGAGGUUGGG
rnacentral:lncRNA from 1 species